AGAUUUCCCCCUGCGAUUCUCACCAGAUGUGUCAUAUUGAAGAGUACAAAUGGUUCGAUCAUUCUCACUUUAAGCUAGGAUGUGGACAUGGAUUGUGUCACCCUGUGAGAAGAAUGGGUAGUCACGUGUUCAAAAAGGAAACCCCUGUAUGUCAGUCAUGUUGCUCUGAUGACUACUGCAACCGGAAUUGUACAACUUCAUCCCAAGGUCAAACUGGGUCCUUUAUUGUCGGUUAAGGUGAGACGUUCCACACACAUAUACAGAUACAUAGUGUAGAUAUCAGACUGACGACAUCUAGCAAACACAACUUCUUUAAAUGACUAAGCGUUUAAUAGUAAUUUUGAAAUCCAGCAACGCUUGCCUCAACUCCAGAAACAAUGAAUCAUUUAAUUUUAAAUCAUUGAUACUUCAUGUGGCAAUCUGCAUGCGUUAGCAGAUAAUAAAAGUUCCGCCUUAUCAUUGAGUUUUUAUGAAAAUGCAUAUAGCAAUGUGGAUAAAAGAAAACCGACAUUUUAAAAAAUUAUCAGAAUAAAAUAUCAUUGCGUUACGCCCGAGAUAACAAAUUUGUUUUGAGAAAUACCGCAUAUUUGGUGUUAGCUUUUUUCACUUUUACUACUUUUAUCUAAACAGGUGGAAGAUUCCGUGAAAGCCAGUUGUAACAGUCAAUAUCUCUUAGCUGCUUUGGAUUAUUUCCGGGUCCUUAAUAGUAUUUUUA